UGAAGUGACUUAUUUAGUGGCGGACGAGUGAGUAACGCGUGAACAAUCUGCCCUGUACAGAGGAAUAGCCUCGGGAAACCGGGAUUAAAACCACAUGACACUUAAGUACCGCAUGGUGCAUAAGUCAAAUAUUUAUAGGUAUGGGAUGAGUUCGCGUCUGAUUAGCUAGUUGGUGGGGUAAAGGCCUACCAAGGCGACGAUCAGUAGCCGGUCUGAGAGGAUGAACGGCCACAUUGGGACUGAGAUACGGCCCAGACUCCUACGGGAGGCAGCAGUGGGGAAUAUUGGGCAAUGGGCGAAAGCCUGACCCAGCAACGCCGCGUGAAGGAAUAAGGCCUUCGGGUUGUAAACUUCUUUUAUCAGGGACGAAGGAUGUGACGGUACCUGAUGAAUAAGCCACGGCUAACUACGUGCCAGCAGCCGCGGUAAUACGUAGGUGGCAAGCGUUGUCCGGAUUUACUGGGCGUAAAGGGAGCGUAGGCGGAUUUUUAAGUGAGAUGUGAAAUACUCGGGCUUAACCUGGGUGCUGCAUUUCAAACUGGAAGUCUAGAGUGCAGGAGAGGAGAAGGGAAUUCCUAGUGUAGCGGUGAAAUGCGUAGAGAUUAGGAAGAACACCAGUGGCGAAGGCGGCUUUCUGGACUGUAACUGACACUGAGGCACGAAAGCGUGGGGAGCAAACAGGAUUAGAUACCCUGGUAGUCCACGCCGUAAACGAUGAGCACUAGGUGUCGGGGGUCGCAAGGCUUCGGUGCCGCAGUUAACGCAUUAAGAGAUCCGCCUGGGGAGUACGUACGCAAGUAUGAAACUCAAAGGAAUUGACGGGGACCCGCACAAGCAGCGGAGCAUGUGGUGUAAUUUGUAGCAACGCGAAGAACCUUACCAGGGCUUGACAUCCCUCUGACGGGCGGGUAACGGCGCCUUCCCUUCGGGGCAGAGGAGACAGGUGGUGCAUGGUUGUCGUCAGCUCGUGUCGUGAGAUGUUGGGUUAAGUCCCGCAACGAGCGCAACCCCCGCUAUUAGUUGCUAACAUUCAGAUGAGCACUCUAAUGGGACUGCCCGUGACAAGCGGGAGGAAGGUGGGGAGGACGUCAAAUCAUCAUGCCCUCUAUGAUCUGGGCUACACACGUGCUACAAUGGAUGGUACAGAGAGCAGCGAGACAGUGAUGUGGAGCGAAUCUCAAAAAACCAUUCUCAGUUCGGAUUGCAGGCUGCAACUCGCCUGCAUGAAGUCGGAAUCGCUAGUAAUCGCGGAUCAGCAUGUCGCGGUGAAUGAAAUCCCGGGCCUUGUACUCACCGCCCGUCA
rnacentral:rRNA from 1 species